CUGCUGCCUCCCGUAGGAGUUUGGGCCGUGUCUCAGUCCCAAUGUGGCCGGUCACCCUCUCAGGUCGGCUACUGAUCGUUGCCUUGGUGAGCCGUUACCUCUCCAACUAGCUAAUCAGACGCGGGUCCAUCUCAUACCACCUCAGUUUUUCACACCAAACCAUGCGGUUUUGUGCGCUUAUGCGGUAUUAGCAGUCAUUUCUAACUGUUAUCCCCCUGUAUGAGGCAGGUUACCCACGCGUUACUCAUCCGUCCCG
rnacentral:rRNA from 1 species